rnacentral:rRNA from 1 species
UACGUAGGGUGCAAGCGUUGUCCGGAAUCAUUGGGCGUAAAGAGCGUGUAGGCGGCCAGAUAAGUCCGCUGUGAAAUCUCGAGGCUCAACUUCGAGCUGUCGGUGGAAACUGUCUGGCUAGAGUCCGGAAGAGGAGAAUGGAAUUCCUGGUGUAGCGGUGAAAUGCGCAGAUAUCAGGAAGAACACCCGUGGCGAAGGCGGUUCUCUGGGACGGUACUGACGCUGAGACGCGAAAGCGUGGGGAGCGAACAGG